CCGCGCUCCACUCUUGACCUUCGUCUCUCCUCAUCGUGCGGGGGAACCUCAACACCGCUGACGGUGCACACAUACAUACAAUGAAGCCUAUGCGUCUGUGUUGUCCCCUGUGGCGCGCCGCGCCCGCCCACCCCGCAGCGCAGCACACGGCACAGCGGAUGCGUAUCUUCACGGCGACGGCAAUAUUCACGUUCCUUCCAUCAAGCAGCGCAGCCGCGACCACCGGCUCGCUGUACCCCUCGCCGCUGCUUCAUCAACGGCGCGCUGUCGGACAGUCCUCCACCCUACCCGGAGCGUCGCUUUCUCUAUCAGAAAAAAGCAGCACGGCAGGCAGCAGCAGCCCUGUUGCACGCGAGAGCUCAGUCGGCAACCGGGAUGCCGCUAAAGAAGGCCCUCCAUCGCUGGAGCCCGUAAUAGUGGAGCUCGGAACCCUCGUCACACGCACGAUGCCAGUGGGGGAGCUGUUUCGUGCCCUGAGCCCCGCCUCCCGAAAGAUUCUCGUAGCGCAUCGUCUUCCCUUGGAGGAACUCCUCUUGCACUUCCCGAACCACUUCCUGGUGUGCCGCCUCGGCGAAAAGAGGACGUCGCAAUCUGCUACGCUGCAUGUGGCGCCUCCGUCCUGCGCCAAGAACAACAUGCACGUUAUGCGGCUUCCGCCUGGAACGAAGCCGUUGCCGGCGCUGGAGCAGUGGCUGGGGCCGCAGAAAGCCAUGGAGGUAGCCAUGCCGAAUUCGAGCAUCGUUGGCGGGUCGCCUUGCAUAGGCACAGGCAGCGGCUUCGUUGGCAAUACCACCACACUCAAGGAACGCUUGGAGGAGGUUCUGACUUACAUUCCCAAUGAGUGGGUGGCGUUCUCGAGUCUCAAUAUUUCGCGUGAUGUAAAGAUGCGGUGCAUGGGCUACCCUCUAGUCCGACCAUGCGCCUUCCUGCUCAAGUACCCACAGUUCUUCGACGUGCGCGUGCAGGACCGGAACGGCAACUCCUUCCUGGUCCGGCGGGCGCUGUCGCUGCAGCAGCAGUUGAACAGAACUCGGAAGCCGUGAGCCGAGCGCAGGCUAUGCAAACGCCCUCAUGCACAUGAUUGUCUGUCGAUCGAGGCUGCGCAGCUGACCGCAAUUGGUGAUGCGCGCCCUUCACCGCCUUUCUGUUCACGUGCGCGUAAGUGUGUGUGUGUGUGUGUGUGUGUGUGUGUGUGUGUGUGUGUGUGUUUCGCUUAACAACGUCAUACAUUGCCCCAUCAGCAGUACACAUACCAGUCAUCCUUAGCCGUGGCACCUACACACAGCAUCCCACCACCACCACCAUCAUCCUAUCUCAUCCUCUACACGCUUCAGGCGGCGGAAGGGGGGGGGGGGCAAUCGAUGGGCCACUGUAUACGUUUUUGAUGCACUUGAGUAGGAUCAUGUGUGAAAACGAGGAGCUGGUCGUCUUGUUCUAUUCAGCAUAUCGAUAUCCCUGCCUUAGAGCGUGAGCUCAGCGCCACUCGACCCUCCACACGGCCUGCUAUCGGGGGGGGGGGGGGCACAUCGCGUGGUGUGAAGCAGUGCUAGACACACGCUGGCGCUUCGCCCAUCAGGUGGCUGGUACAGGCGUGUUCGCAGUAGCGGGUCGAUCCGACGCAACGCCAUCCGGGCCCUGACCGCCGACACCCGUAGCAGUAAACCGCCCUGACCUCCCCACGUCGUAAGCGCUUGACUCUGUCACCACCAACAGUAGCUCGGCAUUCAGCAGGAACAGGAGGAGGGGGGCUGCUUGGCCCUCCGCACAGAUAGAGAGAUGGGGGUGGGGGCGCCCGGGGCCCUGAGAUACGACGCACUGAGAGGGGCGUGUGCCCGCCACACCUGUCAUCCGGGGAUGACGGAGUGGGCGUAAAAAUACAUGCACGCACAUAUAUCGGGUGAGAUGGAGUGGUAUUGUGUGUAUGUGUGCCGAUAACGAUACCGUCUUGUGGUCUCGCGGAGACCUCCUCACUGCGACCGCUCUGCCAUCCUUGCAUCUGUCUGCCCGCCCCGUCCGCAUCUGUCUGUCGGUCGGUCUCUCUGUCUCGCUCGCCACACGCUUACACACAAAUUGUGCGCAAUCCACGCCCACCCGUACAG
rnacentral:misc_RNA from 1 species